GAGAUAACUGGAGAAGAUGGGGGGGGGGGGAAGAGUCACAUUAACACCAUCCCAAACGUGUAGAAUGUUCUGGUACUUCGCUUUAAAUAGGGUGAGAGGGAAGGAGGCAUCGUGGGGGGGGUCCUGUUCAAACAAGAGCAAAAGAGGAGGAUCCCCCACAGCUUUCUGCUGCCAGGAGAAGUCAUGGGGUAUGGGCAGAGACGGCAGAACCCCCACAUUGCACUGGGGUGAGGCUGGAACUCCCCCAGCAGAGUUUGGGUUCAAGGUAAGCUCUUUACAGGACAAAAUCCCCAUGUCCCAAACCCAGGUUCCGGGGUAAAAUCCCCAAAUCCUGAAUCCAGGUUCUACAACCAAAUCCCAACAUCUCGAAUCCAGGUUCCAGGACAAAAUCCCCAAAUCCUGUAUCUGGGUUCCAGGAGAAAAUCACCACAUCCUGAAUCCAAGUUCCAGGACACAAACCCUAUGUCUUGAAUUUGUUUUCUAGGACAAAAUCCCCCUCAUCCCAAACCAGGGUUCCAGGACAAGAUCCCUCUGUCCCACAUCCAAGUUCUAGGACAAAAUCCCCACAUCCUGAAUCCAAUUUCCAGGACAAAAUCCCCUCAUCCCAAACCAAGGUUCCAGGAUAAGAUCUCUCUGUCCCACAUCCAUGUUCUGGGACAAAAUCCCCACAUCCUGAAUCCAGGUUCUAGGAUAAAAUCCUCUCAUCCCAAAUCAAGGUUCCAGGAUAAGAUCCCUCUGUCCCACAUCCAAGUUGUAGGACACGUCCUGCAUCCAGGUUCUGAGUUCUAGGACAAAAUCCCCUCAUCCUAAACCCAGGUUCCAGGACAAAAUCCCCACAUCCUGAAUCCAGGUUCUAGGACAAAAUCCCCACAUCCUGAAUCCAAGUUCUGGGACAAAAUCCCCACAUCCCAAACCAAGGUUCCAGGACAAGAUCCCUCUGUCCCACAUCCAAGUUGUAGGACACGUCCUGCAUCCAGGUUCUGAGUUCUAGGACAAAAUCUCCUCAUCCUAAACCCAGGUUCCAGGAUGAAAUCCCCACAUCCUGAAUCCAAGUUCUGGGACAAAAUCCCCACAUCCCAAACCAAGGUUCCAGGACAAGAUCCCUCUGUCCCACAUCCAAGUUGUAGGACAAAAUCCCCAUGUCCUGUAUCCACAUUCCAGGAGAAAAUCCCCACAUUUGGAUUCUAGGUUCUAGGACAAAAUCGUCCCACAUCCAGGUCCCAGGAUACAAUCCCUAUGUCUCGAAUCUGGGUUCAAGGACAAAAUCCCACAUCCCACAGCCACUUUCUGGACUCGGUGGGUUCAAAGCGAGGCGUGAGGGCCAGAGCAGCCCCUCGGAAUCCCGGAGAGUUGCGCUCACCAUUUUGUGCAGCGUCUCCGGGGCCCCUUUCACAGCUGCAAUGUAACAGAGAUCAGCGGCGCCCAUCUUCUCGUACGACGCCAAGACAGACAUUCUUUUCAGGGCACUGGCAAAAUGAAAGCGCUGGUGAAUUUUCA